rnacentral:rRNA from 1 species
AGAGUUUGAUCAUGGCUCAGAUUGAACGCUGGCGGCAUGCCUAACACAUGCAAGUCGAACGGCAGCACAGGUAGCAAUACCGGGUGGCGAGUGGCGGACGGGUGAGUAAUGCAUCGGGAUCUACCCUGACGUGGGGGAUAACCUCGGGAAACCGGGACUAAUACCGCAUACGUCCUACGGGAGAAAGCGGGGGACCUUCGGGCCUCGCGCGGCAGGACGAACCGAUGUGCGAUUAGCUAGUUGGCGGGGUAAUGGCCCACCAAGGCGACGAUCGCUAGCUGGUCUGAGGGGAUGAUCAGCCACACUGGGACUGAGACACGGCCCAGACUCCUACGGGGGGCAGCAGUGGGGAAUAUUGGACAAUGGGCGCAAGCCUGAUCCAGCAAUGCCGCGUGUGUGAAGAAGGCCUUCGGGUUGUAAAGCACUUUUAUCAGGAGCGAAAUACUACCGGCCAAUACCCGGUGGGGCUGACGGUACCUGAGGAAUAAGCACCGGCUAACUUCGUGCCAGCAGCCGCGGUAAUACGAAGGGUGCAAGCGUUAAUCGGAAUUACUGGGCGUAAAGGGUGCGUAGGCGGUUCGUUAAGUCUGUUGUGAAAUCCCCGGGCUCAACCUGGGAAUGGCAAUGGAUACUGGCGGGCUAGAGUGUGUCAGAGGAUGGUGGAAUUCCCGGUGUAGCGGUGAAAUGCGUAGAGAUCGGGAGGAACAUCAGUGGCGAAGGCGGCCAUCUGGGACAACACUGACGCUGAAGCACGAAAGCGUGGGGAGCAAACAGGAUUAGAUACCCUGGUAGUCCACGCCCUAAACGAUGCGAACUGGAUGUUGGUCUCAACUCGGAGAUCAGUGUCGAAGCAAACGCGUUAAGUUCGCCGCCUGGGGAGUACGGUCGCAAGACUGAAACUCAAAGGAAUUGACGG